rnacentral:rRNA from 1 species
AGACCCGAAACCCGGUGAUCUAGCCAUGGGCAGGUUGAAGGUUGGGUAACACUAACUGGAGGACCGAACCGACUAAUGUUGAAAAAUUAGCGGAUGACCUGUGGCUGGGGGUGAAAGGCCAAUCAAACCGGGAGAUAGCUGGUUCUCCCCGAAAGCUAUUUAGGUAGCGCCUCGUGAAUUCAUCUCCGGGGGUAGAGCACUGUUUCGGCUAGGGGGCCAUCCCGGCUUACCAACCCGAUGCAAACUGCGAAUACCGGAGAAUGUUAUCACGGGAGACACACGGCGGGUGCUAACGUCCGUCGUGAAGAGGGAAACAACCCAGACCGCCAGCUAAGGUCCCAAAGUCAUGGUUAAGUGGGAAACGAUGUGGGAAGGCCCAGACAGCCAGGAUGUUGGCUUAGAAGCAGCCAUCAUUUAAAGAAAGCGUAAUAGCUCACUGGUCGAGUCGGCCUGCGCGGAAGAUGUAACGGGGCUAAACCAUGCACCGAAGCUGCGGCAGCGACACUCAGGUGUUGUUGGGUAGGGGAGCGUUCUGUAAGCCUGCGAAGGUGGCCUGUGAGGGUUGCUGGAGGUAUCAGAAGUGCGAAUGCUGACAUAAGUAACGAUAAAGCGGGUGAAAAGCCCGCUCGCCGGAAGACCAAGGGUUCCUGUCCAACGUUAAUCGGGGCAGGGUGAGUCGACCCCUAAGGCGAGGCCGAAAGGCGUAGUCGAUGGGAAACGGGUUAAUAUUCCCGUACUUGGUGUUACUGCGAAGGGGGGACGGAGAAGGCUAUGUUGGCCGGGCGACGGUUGUCCCGGUUUAAGCGUGUAGGUGUGUGUUCCAGGUAAAUCCGGUUCACUUUAACACUGAGGCGUGAUGACGAGGCACUACGGUGCUGAAGCAACAAAUGCCCUGCUUCCAGGAAAAGCCUCUAAGCAUCAGGUAACA